UUCUUCUUAUUGAGGGAAUGAUGUUGAAAAUAGGUAUAGUAGUCUCUUCUCCCAUUGCUAUAAAGAAAUUCCUGAGACUGAUUAGUUUAUUUAAAAAAAAAUAGAGAGGUUUAAUUGGCUCACAUUUCUUCAGUCUGUGCAGGGAGCAUAAUGCUGGCAUCUGCUCAGUUUCUAGGGAGGUCUCAGUCAACUUAACAUCAUGGGAGAAGGCAAAGGGGAUGCAGGCCCAUCUUACAUGGCUGGAGCAAGAAGUGGGGGAAGGUGCUACACACUUUUAAGCAACCAUAUCUUAUGAGAACACUAUGAUGAUAACAUCACCAAAGGGGGAAAUCCACCCUCAUGAUCCAAUCGUCUCCUACCAGGUCUCACUUCCAACAUUAGUGAUCACAAUUCAACAGGAGAUUUGUGCAGGACACAAAUCCAAACUAUAUCAAUGGGGCUCUAAUUUAAUGUAUAUUCUAUAUACUGAAGAAGAGUAUUCAUGAUUUCAGAAUGUACCUCUGAACUGGCUGUGAAUUUGGAAGGCAUUCCAGUGCUCUUAUGAGGGCAGCUUUUUCUGGAUGAUAUGUGUUAGGUUUUGCAGUAGAAGAUGCAGGAAGGAUGCUGCAGGAGGGAGGGAUUCCUCUUCCGUUUGUGCUGUGCUCCUCGUCCUACUGGCUCCUGUGGUGCAGAUGGGCUCUCAUUCUUCUCCCUGCCACCAUGUGAAGAAGGACAUGUUUGCUUCCCCUUCCACCAUGAUAGUAAGUUUCCUGAGGCCUCUCCAGCCCUACAGAACUACUCAUAGGUAGAAGGGACUUGCCUUGUCCCAGAUGAAACUUUGGACUGUGGACUUUUGGGUUAAUGCUGGAAUAAACUAAGACUUUGGAGGACUAUUGGAAAGGUACAAUUGUGCUUUGAAAUGUGAAGACACAAGAUUUUGGAGGGUCUGAUGGCAGAAUUAUAUGGUUUGGCUAUGUCCUCACCCUAGUCUCAUCUUGAAUUGUAGUUCCCGUAAUCCUCAUGUGUGGUGGGAGGAACCUGGUGGAAAGUAAUUGAAUCAGGGGGGCAGUUUCCGCCAUGCCAUUCUCAUGAUAGUAAGUUCUCAUGAGAUCUGAUGGUUUUAUAAGGUGCUUUCCCCUACAGUAGGUUCUCAUUGUUCUCCUUCCUGCUGCCAAGUGAACAAGGAUGUAUUUUCUUCCCCCUUUCGUCAUGAUUGUAAGUUUCCUGAGGCCUUUAAUUGUGAGUCAAUUAAGACUCUUUCCUUUAUAAUUUACCCAGUCUCAGGCACUUCUUUAUAGCAGUGUGAGCACAAACUAAUACACCUGACGUUGCCCUUCUUUCUUCACACCAAAUAUCAUUCCUCUCUAUUGGCUCUCAUUCCCAUUUUCUCCCCACCAAACUGAGCAUUCUUCAUAAGUAAGUAAUAUUAUUUGGAUAUUUGUCCCCCAAAAAUCUCAUGUUGAACUGUAAUGCCCAAAACUUGAGGUGGGGCCUGGCAGGAAAUAUUCAGGUUUUGGGGACAGAUCUCUCAUGGCUUAGUGCUGUCUUUGCAACAGUGUGUAAGUGCUUGUGAGAUCUGGUUGUUUAAAAAUGUGUGGCACCUCCCCAUUACCUUUCUCUUCUGCUCCUACUAUGGCCCUGUGAUUGACAGUUCUCCCUCUGACUCUACCAUGACUGUAAGAUUCCUGAGGCCUCAUUAGAAGCCAAGCAGCUGCCUGGCACUGUGCUUCCUCUACAGCCCAUGGAACCGUGAGCCAAUUAAACCUCUUUUCUUUUUAAAUUACCCAGUCUCAGAUAUUUCUUUAUAGCAAUGCAAGAGCUGUCUAACAUAGUGAGAAUUUCUUCCAUUUUUUUUUUCUCUUAAUGUUGGCAUCUUUAACUCAUCCAUUUGGAUCAGUCUUUGAGAGCUUUUAAGAAUCUUAUAUUACUCCCG
rnacentral:lncRNA from 1 species